rnacentral:rRNA from 1 species
GACGAACGCUGGCGGCGUGCUUAACACAUGCAAGUCGAACGGUGAAGGGACCGGUUUUUGCUGGUUCUGGAUGAGUGGCGAACGGGUGAGUAACACGUGAGUAACCUGCCCCCUUCUUCUGGAUAACCGCAUGAAAGUGUGGCCAAUACGGGAUAUUCUGCGCCUGCUGCAUGGUGGGUGUGGGAAAGAUAUUGUUUCGGUGGGGGAUGGGCUCGCGGCCUAUCAGCUUGUUGGUGGGGUGAUGGCCUACCAAGGCGGUGACGGGUAGCCGGCCUGAGAGGGUGGACGGUCACACUGGGACUGAGACACGGCCCAGACUCCUACGGGAGGCAGCAGUGGGGAAUAUUGCACAAUGGGCGCAAGCCUGAUGCAGCGACGCCGCGUGAGGGAUGGAGGCCUUCGGGUUGUAAACCUCUUUCGCCAGUGAAGCAGGCCUGUCCCUUUUGUGGGUGGGUUGACGGUAGCUGGAUAAGAAGCGCCGGCUAACUACGUG